rnacentral:rRNA from 1 species
AGUGAACGCUGGCGGUAGGCCUAACACAUGCAAGUCGAACGGCAGCACAGUAAGAGCUUGCUCUUACGGGUGGCGAGUGGCGGACAGGUGAGGAAUACAUCGGAAUCUACUUUUUCGUGGGGGAUAACGUAGGGAAACUUACGCUAAUACCGCAUACGACCUACGGGUGAAAGCCGGGGAUCUUCGGACCUUGCGCGAUUGAAUGAGCCGGUGUCGGAUUAGCUAGUUGGCGGGGUAAAGGCCCACCAAGGCGACGAUCCGUAGCUGGUCUGAGAGGAUGAUCAGCCACACUGGAACUGAGACGCGGUCCAGACUCCUACGGGAGGCAGCAGUGGGGAAUAUUAGACAAUGGGCGCGAGCCUGAUCCAGCCAUACCGCGUGGGUGAAGAGAGCCUUCGGGUUGUAGAUCUCUUCUGUUGGGAAAGAAAAACAGCAGGUGAAUACCCCGCUGUACUGACGGUACCCAAAGAAUAAGCACCGGCUAACUUCGUG